AGGCAAAAAAAAAACGCAGUGCAAUACUGAUUGAGAAUAUUCCAAGAUUAUGUAGUAUUCCUGUAAAAAUAAAUAAAUAAAUAAAAAUGAAAGCAGCUACUUCAGAUCAUAACAGGAAGAUAUAGGGCAUAAAGAGUUCUGAGAAGGAAAAAUCAAAAUGUUCAUUUUCUGGUGUGCAAGAGAUUAAAAAGUAACUAUCAAUGAACAUCUUAAAUGAGAACUUUGCUUCAUUUUAAAACAGAAAGCAAUAAUCCAUCAUAUUGAGUAUGGAGUUGUGGUGGUUUUCUAUGGCAUUUCUAUGGCAUCCCCCACUGAAAACCUAGCCUGAGUAUCUGUAAAUAACCUGUCUGGGAAAUAAAAUAUUUUAAACUACCAUAACUUCAAACAAACAAACAAAAAAAAAAAAACCUCUGGACUAACAUGGGAUGGAACAGAAAUGCUUAGAUUCAGUUUUGAAGUUGUGUAAGCCAACUGAUGUAAGGUAUCCACAUGGAGAUUAAUUAUGAAAUGUCUAGUGAGCUGGAAACUCACAUGCUAACUUACUUUGAGGUAUUUCUCUAUAUAGACCAUCCCUUAGGCAGAUUCAGUCUCUCCCACAUAGCAGGUCUGAACUGCGGCCAUUUACAGUAUUUAUAAUUCAUAUUAUGUAGGCCAGUGCAAAUUGUGAAGUAUGUCUUGUACAAUCAAGCUGUAAUCAAAAUUCAUUUCCACAGACAAUCCAAGUAUUUCAGAUAAGAAUACACUUUUUCGAGUUCUUAGUAGUAAAUUCUAAGCAGUAGAUUAUCAUAUCAAGCUUCUCUAAAAUGAUAUUGAUUGUAUUUGAAUCCUAACUCAAUUAAUAUUCAUAGGAAGUAUUUGUCACUAUUUGCUCAGCUAUGACACACAAUCGAUUCGCAAUUACAUACACUUUACCUUUUAUCUUAUAGCCUGGAAAGGCUAGUAGUCCAGCUAACAUACAUAUAGGUGUUUCCUUUACUUCUCCAAUAACAAUUAAAAGUACCAAUAAAACUGACUACUUUUGAAGGUAAAACAAUGUAAGAAACACUUCUAAAAUGGUAUAGUUCUGAUACUAUCUGAUCGUGAGAAUAACAUAUUCUAAUGUAGUGGAUGACAAGACUCAACCAUGCCACACUACAAGAUCUCAAAUUGAAAUGAUUUUGUAAACAAAUUAUGAUUAUACACAGCUAAUUUAAUUAAUAUAUUAAUUUCACAAAAAUUAGUUUCACAAAAAACACAGCAUAAACAACAGAACAUCAAAAUUAUUCCUGUAGUGGUUUAGACUCAGUCAUGCACUGAAAGCAAUAAUUUCGUGCCCUUGUAAUAAAUUGUCAGUCUAACACUGACAACCAGGUUCUAAACAGCUUUAUUGCGUAUUGUAAUGUUCAGCACCAGUCAUAACAGUUUGAUUUGAUAUUCAAAGAGCAGCCACAUUUUUCCAUUGAGAUUCGAAUGUUGGUUAAUAUUAAUGUUCCCUUAAAAUUGAAGUAAUACCCAACAGUCUUCACAUUUAUUCAAUCUGAAAGCCUAGCCUUCCGAAAAGAUCAUGUCUGUGUGAUGCUACAUAUUUUUGUCCUUAGGGUUUGGAAACUGAACCUUAGAACUGCUAGAUGGAUUUGGGAAAUUUGAUCUCACUUCCUGAGCCAGUGAGCUAUAGGACGCUCAUCAUCUGAUUGGGCAGGAACUCACCUACACAGGUCAGCUUGAAGGAGACUGUAAGAAUGAGAAUGCUUAUCAACAUCAUCCCUCAGAUGUGAGGGUCUUCCCUAUAGACAGAUACAGAUUCUAGUCGCACCAAGAGCAUUCUGUAUUGGAGGGAGAACUCAUUUGUAGCAUAUUAUGGGAGCAGUGGGUCAGGUUUAGAACAAAUUCAGUGAUGUCUGAUUAUUUGAUAAAAUAACUACUGAAACAAAACACAGAAUGUGUUGAAUGACAAAAUAAAUUUAAAGCAAAUCAUACUGAUUCAUGAAUUGCACAUACUUAAAAUAAAAUUCCAUUGUUAGUUUUUACCUCAAAUAUCAAUUUGUAAAAGUGAUAGAUAAACAUGUCAAGAGCAAAAGAGAUUUGAUAUCAGCUGAUCCAUUACUUGAUUGUAUUAUGAAUAAAGUUUAAAGAACAUUUUUUACUGAUUGCAUCAGGUCAUCUAUUUACACAUCAAAGAAACAGAAAGAGAUUGGAAUCAGAGGUGACACAAAUAUACAGAACCUUUCUUCUGAAAUAACUGUGUCUGUGUUUCCAGGUAUGUACAAGCACAUCUAGAAGGAAAAAGAGAUAAUGGAUUUUCUUUUCUCUUCUGAGAUCCACAGUGACAAAGAAUUCUCCUACUGGCCAUUAGUAAUAAAUAACAUCAGGUUGACUGAGGACAUCAUAUGACAGAUAGAUCGUGGCACAUCCUAAGAAAAAAUAAACUUACAUCAAAAGACUCCAUGAGGCUCAAAUAAGACCUCAAAUCUCAGCCAAACUUUGGCAGGAAGCACUUCGAUGUGUCAGUGAACAAAGACAUGGUAAGCUCAAGUAUAAGUAAGAACACCAAUAUUAAGGACAGCAUUCUGCCUUUCACCAAACAAGACAAACAUUUUCUCUUCUUUACGUAAUGCUGUCUCUAUAGAAUAUGAAAGAAUUCCAAAACUUGACAUCUACUGCCCAAAAAAACAGAAAUUUUAGUCGUAGAUCAGAGCUAAAGGUUAGGUUAAUUCUUAUGUGAGUUUGUGUUCAAAAUGUAUAUCUGAGCAUCCAGUGGGGAUCUGUACGUUUAAUAAAACCAUCUUUUCUCACAGAGGUGAGAUGCUAAUAGAAGACAUAUAGGCAUUAAUCCUAAAGCUGGCUGUUUUAUUAAAAGACUGUUUGCUACGUGUAUUAUUAGAACAUAGCUUUAUUCAGUAAACAGUAUCUUACACAUCAACCAGACUCAAUCACACUUUCAAUUAGAGUUUUAGUAAUAGUCCUUUUGAAAUGGAAAUACCUAGUAGCAACAUGAUCAGGAAAGCAUUUUCUGAAGAUGUAUGAACAUCUUUAAACUGUAACUGUUCAGAAUGCUCUAGUCUUUAUUGUCCAUUUAUAGUACUAUCUACUAUUGUUGGGUAUUUUAUGGCAUCAUUUCUUUCUCCAAAACUAUUUCAUCCAAUUAAAAACCAUUGUUUGUUUUCA